rnacentral:rRNA from 1 species
CCUUGUACACACCGCCCGUCACACCAUGGGAGUUGGUUCUACCCGAAGGUAGUGCGCUAACCCGCAAGGGAGGCAGCUAACCACGGUAGGGUCAGCGACUGGGGUG